rnacentral:rRNA from 1 species
GACAGAGGGUGCAAACGUUGUUCGGAAUUACUGGGCGUAAAGCGCGUGUAGGCUGCUCCGAUAGUCGGAUGUGAAAGCCCUGGGCUCAACCUAGGAAGUGCAUUCGAUACUCCGGAGCUUGAGUCCUGGAGAGGAAGGCGGAAUUCCGGGUGUAGCGGUGAAAUGCGUAGAUAUCCGGAGGAACACCGGUGGCGAAGGCGGCUUCCUGGACCGACACUGACGCUGAGGCGCGAAAGCUAGGGGAGCAAACGGG